GAUGAACGCUGGCGGCGUGCCUAAUACAUGCAAGUCGAGCGAACAGACGAGGAGCUUGCUCCUCUGACGUUAGCGGCGGACGGGUGAGUAACACGUGGAUAACCUACCUAUAAGACUGGGAUAACUUCGGGAAACCGGAGCUAAUACCGGAUAAUAUAUUGAACCGCAUGGUUCAAUAGUGAAAGACGGUUUUGCUGUCACUUAUAGAUGGAUCCGCGCCGCAUUAGCUAGUUGGUAAGGUAACGGCUUACCAAGGCAACGAUGCGUAGCCGACCUGAGAGGGGGAUAGGCCACACGGGAACGGAGACACGGUCAAGACGCCUACGGGAGGCAGCAGUAGGGAAUAUUCCGCAAUGGGCGAAAGCCUGACGGAGCAACGCCGCGUGAGUGAUGAAGGUCUUCGGAUCGUAAAACUCUGUUAUUAGGGAAGAACAAAUGUGUAAGUAACUAUGCACGUCUUGACGGUACCUAAUCAGAAAGCCACGGCUAACUACGUG
rnacentral:rRNA from 1 species